rnacentral:rRNA from 1 species
GACGAACGCUGGCGGCGUGCUUAACACAUGCAAGUCGAACGGAAAGGCCCUGCUUGCAGGGUACUCGAGUGGCGAACGGGUGAGUAACACGUGGGUGAUCUGCCCUGCACUUCGGGAUAAGCCUGGGAAACUGGGUCUAAUACCGGAUAGGAGCCAUUUUUAUUGUGAUGGUUGGAAAGUUUUUUCGGUGUAGGAUGAGCUCGCGGCCUAUCAGCUUGUUGGUGGGGUAAUGGCCUACCAAGGCGGCGACGGGUAGCCGGCCUGGGAGGGUGGACGGCCACAUUGGGACUGAGAUACGGCCCAGACUCCUACGGGAGGCAGCAGUGGGGAAUAUUGCACAAUGGGCGCAAGCCUGAUGCAGCGACGCCGCGGGGGGGAUGACGGCCUUCGGGUUGUAAACUCCUUUCGCUAGGGACGAAGCUUUUUGUGACGGUACCUAGAUAAGAAGCACCGGCUAACUACGUG